GACGAACGCUGGCGGCGUGCCUAAUACAUGCAAGUAGAACGCUGAAGGAGGAGCUUGCUUCUCUGGAUGAGUUGCGAACGGGUGAGUAACGCGUAGGUAACCUGCCUGGUAGCGGGGGAUAACUAUUGGAAACGAUAGCUAAUACCGCAUAAUAGUAGAUGUUGCAUGACAUUUGCUUAAAAGGUGCAAUUGCAUCACUACCAGAUGGACCUGCGUUGUAUUAGCUAGUUGGUGGGGUAACGGCUCACCAAGGCGACGAUACAUAGCCGACCUGAGAGGGUGAUCGGCCACACUGGGACUGAGACACGGCCCAGACUCCUACGGGAGGCAGCAGUAGGGAAUCUUCGGCAAUGGACGGAAGUCUGACCGAGCAACGCCGCGUGAGUGCAGAAGGUUUUCGGAUCGUAAAGCUCUGUUGUAAGAGAAGAACGAGUGUGAGAGUGGAAAGUUCACACUGUGACGGUAUCUUACCAGAAAGGGACGGCUAACUACGUG
rnacentral:rRNA from 1 species